UCGCUCAAAAUGGGUUAAAUAAACAUUAAAUUAUGUAGUUUAGGGAUUGUUAGGGAUCGAUAGGGGGGUGCAUUCUGAACAUAAAUUUCAAUUUGCGGGGUUCUCCGAAGGUCAGCUGGGCUCGGUUAACGGACCAAAAUGUGUCUAUGAGAGUAAAGGAUAUGUUGUAAAGAGAAGUAUAACAACUGACAUAAGAUAAGACAAUUAAUGCAAUUGGAAGAGUAAGAGUGGUAUUAUCACGCAGCGUGAGUAGGUCGGUAUUGGAAGAAUCUAUGAAGUAAAGAAAUAGUAUUAGUUCGUUGUUGGUUGAGGAGGUUCGUCUAGGGAUGUAGACACAAGUUGGUUAUUUUCCAAUGUGAGUAGACAAUAUCCAGGCUGUAAGGAAACAGUACACAUAAUGCGUUUUAUGAAUGUAAUCGAACGAGUCGACUAGAGAAAAGAGCGCGAACUAGGCGCUGCGGACAAGAUUGCACGAACGAGGUGCCUCGAAUGAGUGCACGAACUAGGUGCUUGAAAGGAUCUCAGGAAGGUUGCACGAACUAGGCGCCUUGGAUGAGUGCACUAACUAGGUGCUUGAAAGGAUCUCAGGAAG